rnacentral:lncRNA from 1 species
AGGAAUAAAGAAUAUGCAAGGCAACCAUAGGAAAGGCAUGUUCAACAUCAGGAGAUAGAAAGAUUCAUUGAGUUUAAUUUUUACGAAGAAAAAUAAAAUUGUGUAAACUAAAGAAUUUAGGGAGUUUGAGGGUUGUGUUGCACAAACCAUCAUUUAGGAAGGAGAGGGAGACAAGGGGACUAAGGCGGAUGAGUAGUGGUUUGGCCAAACCAAGGGGUUGGCUGACUCUUCCUGGUGCCCUUACCUUAGCCCUUGUCAUGCUGGUGCGGACUAUGCUGAAUAACACCUUUGUGUGAGAUCUCGAAUAUGUGUGUGUUGAUAAGCCUGAGAGAUCUCCCCCACACUUAUUCAUGUACAUGAUUUUAUUCAACAGAAAGGAACAAAGGUGGAAACAAGCAAGGACUCUGCCAGUUUAAAAC